GCCACCGUGGUGGAGUGGUCUAACACGCUAGACUCAAGUUCUAGUCUCUUCGGAGGCGCAAGUUCGAACCUUGCCGGUGGUA
rnacentral:tRNA from 1 species